rnacentral:rRNA from 1 species
AACGAACGCUGGCGGCAUGCCUAACACAUGCAAGUCGAACGAGACCUUCGGGUCUAGUGGCGCACGGGUGCGUCACGCGUGGGAACCUGCCCUUAGGUUCGGAAUAACUCCCCGAAAGGGGUGCUAAUACCGGAUAAUGUCUUCGGACCAAAGAUUUAUCGCCUUUGGAUGGGCCCGCGUUGGAUUAGCUUGUUGGUAGGGUAAAAGCCUACCACGGCGACGAUCCAUAGCUGGUCUGAGAGGAUGAUCAGCCACACUGGGACUGAGACACGGCCCAGACUCCUACGGGAGGCAGCAGUGGGGAAUAUUGGACAAUGGGCGAAAGCCUGAUCCAGCAAUGCCGCGUGAGUGAUGAAGGCCUUAGGGUUGUAAAGCUCUUUUACCCGGGAUGAUAAUGACAGUACCGGGAGAAUAAGCUCCGGCUAACUCCGUG